UAUAAGCUUCAACCGCUUCUGGCUGCUCUGACGAAUGUUUUUUUCCAUCACAACCAUAUUUUUACAACCAGGCGAUGACACGAUGAAAACAAUGGCCAUACCGAAAAAGUGUCGGACUGAUAUUGUUUCGGCGAAAUGCUAUCAUAGCUUCAUAUAGCUCUCAGCUCAUCGUAAAACGUGUGUAGUAGAACUGUUUGUUUGCUUGUUUCAAGAUUAAUCUUAUUCUGAUGGGGUUGGUUUUCUUCUGUGGCUUCACUGAACAUUCAAACUACACUAACCAACUACGAGGAUUCUAACAGAAUCGGAGUUAUUAUUUUUUUUUGUGUUUCCAAUUUUAUUUUGUUUAAUAAAUCU